AAAUUUUCUGAAUCACAGAAUAGAUGGCUGAUCCGGCGCUGCCCAACGCCACGGCGGUCCGCAGUGGCCGCCAACAGCAGAGAAAGAGACAGAGAGUGAGAUCGAGGGGGAGAGCAGAGAGAGAGGUUGAGAGAGGAAGAUCGAGAGGGAGCCUACCUGAGGCAGGGUUGGCGGUGUGACGGAGACAGCGACGGUGACGGAGGGCCUUGCCGGAGGGGCGGAUUUCAGAGAGGAAAAUGGAGGCAGAAAACCCUAGAAUUUGGGCAUUCUUGAGGUAAAAUAGCUAAAUGUUUGAUGUUUAUAUAAUUGAACACUUAGGAGCGUGGAAUGUGAUUAUAUGAUAGAAAUUGGGAGAUAUUGGGUAUGUUACUAUGUGUUGAGCCAAUUUUGAUUUAUGAAUAAGGGAAGAACUACUUUUAGUAUUGAUUGGAGAAGUUGUGGUGAUUAAUUGUGUUAUAACUUGCUUGCUUUGUGUUGAUGAGUUAAACAUGAGUUAAAUUUCAAGCUAAAGCAUGCUAAUGUGUAAUAAGAUGAUGUAAUUGAGUCCCUAUGGUUGUAUUUGACAAAAGUAUGAAUUAUAUGUUAAGUUGAAACAAAGGGACUUUGCUGUCAGUUUUCGGCUUGACAGGGCAGUAUGUUUCGAGGUGCUUCUGAUGGUGUUAUCGUAGUCUAAAUAACUUGAAAUUUUUACUGUAAUAACUUCGGCAUGAGUGGUACGUGUCUGCAAAAUUUCAGCUAAAUCCAACACCGUUAGAUAUGUCAAACGAAUUUCUGAAAUGUACUGCACGAAGAAGCGUAGGUCAGUGGCAGUUUCUGCCUUUGGUGAUAUAACUUCUUAUACACUUGAGACAUUGUAUUUUUGUAAAUUCCUGAUAAAUAUAGACUUUAAUAUCUUUCUAAAAAGAUAAAGCUUGUAUUUUUCUUUGAAGGGGUUGAUUUUAUAUGAUAUUUCAAAGUUGAGAUUCAUAUAUGAUUACAUAUUUGAAGUGACUUUAAUAUGAUUUCAACUUGAGAUAUCCCAAGAAAUAUGAUGUUAUUGUUGUUUUGCAGUUAGUUAAGUCCAUAAAAGUAGAAUACUCAGAUUAGAGGAUGCAAUUCCUGUGUGACGCUUGAGGUAAAAUAGCUAAAUGUUUGAUGCUUAUAUAAUUGAACACUUAGGAGCGUGGUGGAAAAUGUGAAUAUAUGAGUAGAAUAUUGGGGAGAACUAUUGAUUGGAGAAGUUGUGGUGAUUAAUUGUGUUAUAACUUGCUUGCUUUGUGUUGAUGAGUUAAACAUGAGUUAAAUUUCAAGCUAAAGCAUGCUAAUGUGCAAUAAGAUGAUGUAAUUGAGUCCCUAUAGUUUUGCAGGAGAAUGCUACUCCAAAAAGGAAAUUGAUGAAGUAAGGAUAGAGUGGAGUU
rnacentral:lncRNA from 1 species